GCAGUGUGUGAGUCUGUGUAUGUAAGAGUGUGUGUAAAUGGAUUUGCUUCAAGCUUGAAGCUUAAUUUUCAUCUUAGUCUCUGCAGUUGCAGAAGUAAUUAUAUUUCAUUUAAAGUUAACAUGAUUCUAGUAACUGGUAUAUGAGACAUCUUCAAUGUUGACACAUUCCCUGAGAAUGUGGGACUUUACAAAAGGGCCUAUAAAGAGUCUGUACAGUAAAAAAUAAAUGUACAGGUCACAAUGUAUGAAAGUGAAAAUAAACAGUGUUUUCUUGGCUGACUCCGGGAACAAAGCUAAGACAACUGGAGAAACAAUAUAGCAGAAGAGUUAAUGGUGUGAUGUCAAGAGACUGCCCCAGGAAUGUGAACAGACACUUUAAAAAGUAAUGAGCUCUCUCUCUGGUCCACUAACUUCAGCAUUUAAGGCAGAGACUCAAUAUUCAAACAUCUGUGGAGAGUAAUUCCAGCAUCAGUUUGGAAGCUAUACUAGGUUGAUCUUUGGACAAUCCAGACCCACAGAAACAGGUUCUCACUUUGUCAACCAGGCUGGAAUGCAGUGGUGCAAUUGCAGCUCACUGCAGCCUCAAACUCCUGGGCUCAAGCAAUCCUCCCACCUGAGCUUCCCGAAGCACUGGGAUUACAAGUGUGAGCCACUGCACCAGCCUAAUUUGUAAUAUUUGCAUUGGAAAGUAGAAGCAGCCUGCCUCUCAGUGCCCCAGAUUUGAAAAAGCAAGUUACAAUCACGUGUCAUUACAAUGAAUUAUUUUGGAUAUGAAAGAGGAAGACAGGACACCUUAUGAGAGGAGCUGCAGUGAGGAGGCUGCAUUGUGGCCCUUUCUUUUUAAAAAUGUGUAUAUUCAAGAUGUACAACAUAAUAUUUUGAUGUAUUAUACAUAGUGAAAUGAUUGGGUGGGGGUGGGGGAGACUGAGGGCAGAGAGGUGUGAGGGACGUCCUUUACUCCUGGAGUAUGUGAAAUAGAGCACAGGAGGAAAUCUCAUGCGUAAGAGAGCUGACAAACCAGUAUGGACACUGCCCAAUUAUCACUUAAUGUUUCCUUGAAAAUAAAAAUGAUGCUGAUGAAAAACUGCUCUGACAUUGCUUUUCCAGGUUCUAAACCUUCUAUGCCUUAUAAAAUUAAUCUAUGAAUUAUUUGGGAUCCUAGCAAGGAGAAGGAAGUUUUUCCUGAUCGUCGACAAAGGAAUAUCCCUAAAACAUGCAUUUGGGUUCCUUUUAGUUCUAAAUUCCAGGACUCAAUCACAAUGUUAACUUAACCUGCUUCACAGACGUUUCAGUUGCUGCACUUUAAAAUGUACUACAUCAGAUUUUGUCAAUUAAAAAAUGCUUAGGUUUUCCAAUACUGCUCAACAACUUGUUGAGAACAAAUUUGUGGGGGCAAGGUGGGUGAAAUAAAGUGUCAGUGAAAAUACUCAACUUCUCCCUCAGGUGUAAAAAUCUCUCAGAGAAUUU
rnacentral:lncRNA from 1 species